rnacentral:lncRNA from 1 species
CAGGAGGAAUGGCAGAGCAAUCAACUGGGAAGCCAGAAGAUUCCUAGAGCUCAUCCUGGCCGAUGGGGAGAAUGGACAUGGUUGGUCCUCACUUGGUGUGUCCAACACACAGACUGUUGGAAGAGGAUUGUUCAAUGCAGCCAGGUUUUGCUGAUUAAUUUGGGCUAUUCCUCUGCACCUAAUGAAUUUCUGUCUCUGUGUGCCUUCUGGUGAGAUGGCUGUGCUGGAAAAUAGGCACAGAAAACUAACUUUUAGAAUGAGAAGAUGCCAUUCACACAUCUGUGGAUGAGUCUCACCCUGCUUCCUCCCUGCUGUCCUUGUCACCUGCCCCAUGUCCUGCUGGGGACGGGCAGAGCUGCCCCAGGGGUGUCUGACAUGUCCUGCAAGCCAGGUCUGCUGCCUGCACAGUGAGAGGUGUUCUUGGGAGGUCUGAGAGCAGAGCAAGAACACGGUACUCCCUGACCAUCCUCAGCCAGAGCACUCCUCUUAGGCAACUGGGAACUGAUCACCUUCUGCCUGCCGUGCCUUUUGCACUUUUAACUCCUGCUGCACAAUAUUUUGGCUGGGUCACGGAACCUCAGCAAUGUGCCCAGUCAUAAAGUGGUAUCUCAUGUUCAGGUUCUCAGAGAGCUGGUUUCCCACCUGGAUUAUGGCAAAUAAAUUCUGUUAGGCUUAAGAUGACAUUUUCCAUUCUCUAAUAAUUUGUAAUUUUAUUUUUUCUUUUCAGUGAGAGAAAGGGACUAAUCCCUGGUAAUUCUAAUUAACACAACUCUGAUUAUGCAUAAUCAUUCAGUUCAGGGAUUUCUUCCUAGCCCUGAAUCGCUGCUCUCGCUUUUGUUUACAGUCAAGGGAAUAAGUCAGACACAAUACCCAAAGACAAUGUAUUAGUACCAUGCAGAGAACUGUUUAUGGGGUCUUCCAUCAGCAGAGUGUGGUUGCUGGAGUCUCUGGAAGGGGUGGGGGCUGGCAGUGUGCAAAGCUUCCCAGUAGGGAUGGGAAGGGAGCACACAGGGCCAUGGCAUCAGGGUUUUUUCCAGCACAGGCUGACAAAGUGGGCCAGUCUGCCUCGCUGGAAAAACUGUGCUGCAAAUUUUUGCUCUCAGCCUCAAGGAAGUGAGAUUUCCUCGUGGAGACCCAGGGAGACCCACAACUGUGGCUUUGCAAAUGGCACAAAUGAAUGUCCAUAGUCCAAAAUACUUUUGGAUCCUCCUUGUAGAGCCUUCUCCUUCAGCUACUCGUCUUCUGGGAAGCCAAAACCCUCGCACUGAUCUCCUACAUGAGAAUAAAGCUCACAAAACAUCCA